GUGAGGAAUUUUGCGCAAUGGGAGCAAUCCUGACGCAGCAACGCCGCGUGAGUGAUGAAGGCCUUCGGGUCGUAAAGCUCUGUCAGGUGGGAAGAAUGUCCCGCAUGGGAAUACUGUGUGGGAGUGACGGUACCACCAGAGGAAGCACCGGCUAACUCCGUGCCAGCAGCCGCGGUAAUACGGAGGGUGCGAGCGUUAUUCGGAAUUACUGGGCGUAAAGCGCGUGUAGGCGGGGAGGCAAGUCUGAUGUGAAAGCCCUGGGCUUAACCCGGGAAGUGCAUUGGAAACUGCUUUUCUUGAGUUCUGGAGAGGAAGGGGGAAUUCCCGGUGUAGAGGUGAAAUUCGUAGAGAUCGGGAGGAAUACCAGUGGCGAAGGCGCCCUUCUGGACGGAUACUGACGCUGAGACGCGAAAGCGUGGGGAGCAAACAGG
rnacentral:rRNA from 1 species